ACAAACACACACAGGCCUGAGCUCCGGAUAUUUCUCCUGUUCUGGAGACAGUGAGAAGUGAAAGAGAAAUGGCUGCCCCUGCACCACUUACCGCGAAGGAGGCUCAAGGCUGGGGGGCCCCUCUGCCUUCCAGUGACCGCCCGUGUCACAUCCUGACCCGCUCAGCAGGAGAACACAGCAGGUCCCUCCGACCGCAGUCGGCCUCUCCAGCCUGCCAUGCCUCUGGCCAUGAGGCGACCCGCUGGAGUGAUGGAUUCCCGUCACUACCACCCACAGGGCGAGGGGGUGCAUUGGUCUGCUUGGGCCGCUGUAACAAAAUGCCACAGCCUGGAUGAGUGACUGACAUUGCUUCCCCACCGUUCUGGAGGCUGGAGGCCCGAGAUCGAGGUCCCUGACACUAUUUCAGUGAUGCCAGAGCCCAGGAGGAGUCGACCAAGCCCCAGCGUGGCCAUAAGCACCUUCGCAGGACCACGGAGUCGCUGCAGGUGUUCAGCCCUGUUGAGAGUGGGAGUCGGUGUCGAUGGUCACAGCUCAGUAACUCAUCGUCACCAGCGAGUACCACAGAGCAGACACAACUGCACUUCUCUGUAGAGCCUCCAGUCGAUACUGAGAGCCACUGGGGCGUCUGACACCCAAGGGUGCAGACAUUCACUCCAAGUCCAGAGACCGCGCCCUUUCUAAGGCCCUGUCUCACAGUCGCCCCGUGCUCAUUGUGCCGGAUGUUUCCACAGCCACAGAGACGGUGCGUGAAGGUGAGGUGCAGCCUAGUGCAUAUGACUGACAGAAACGUGAAGCCACAGUGGACGCCUGGAUGAGACACAGAUCACCUUCCAAAUCUGAGUGUGGCCUUGGGACCAACCAGGCAGCCAGGGAGAAGGCAGAGACCAGAGGGAACCCAGGUGCCCUCAAUCCCAGCCUCCUCUAUCCCAGCCUCCCAAUCCCAGCCUCCCCAAUCCCAGCCUCCUAAUCCCAGCCUCCUCCAUCCCAGGACCCCCACUCCCAGCCUCCCGAUCCCAGCUUCUCUGAUCCCAGCCUCCCCUAAAACCCAGACUCUAUGAAUCCCAGCCUCUGAGGUGGGAACUGUUAGUAACCCCACUCCAUGGACAAGAAAGCUGGGGCCUGGCGAGGCUAACAGACUAUCCUGAUGGUGUGAGGGAGGGAUCGGCCUCUGAGGGCUGCUUCCACCCAUCUCACCAGUGGCUGCAGGCUCCAGGCGCCACUUUCCUUGAGUCUAUGUUCUUUCCAAGCAUCCUGCAGCUCCAGAAGCUCUGGAGCCGCCAGCACUGAGAGAAGCGAUGGAGCUGCAUGCAGGGAAACUUUGUUGACAGCGGUGUCUGGAUGGACCAGCAGAGGGCACUCUCACCCACGGGGAAAAUCGUGCGCCCGGCCUCGUCCACCGCCAGAAGACGCCGCUACACAAUGGAGUCUCGCUCUGUCGACCAGGCUGGAGUGCAAUGGUGCGAUCUCGGCUCACUGCAAUCUCUGCCUCCCGGUGAGAGGUGAAGCCAGCUGGACUUCCUGGGUCUAGUGGGGACUUGGAGAACUUUUCUGUCUAGCUAAAGAUUUGUAAAUGCACCAAUCAGUGCUGUGUCUAGCUAAAGUUUGUAAACGUACCAAUCAGCACUCUGUAAAAAUGGGCCAAUCAGCACUCUGUAAAAUGGACCAAUCAGCACUCUGUAAAAUGGACCAGUCAGCAGGAUGUGGGCGGGGUCAAAUAAAGGAAUAAAAAGCUGGUAGCCGAGCCGGCAGUGGCAAACCGUUUGGGUCCUUCUCGGUACCCUGGUGGCUUUGUUGUUUUGCUC